UCAUAUCUGCAUUCAAGACUUUGAAAUCGUUGGGUAAAUUUGAUCACCCUUAGGGUUAUGCUGUAUGAUACAUGACACCCUAAGAUUCAAGUUAUAUAACAGUAAGGUACCUUUUCCCUU